GCUGUUAAUUGUCGUGUUGCCCAGAUUGCCAAGGACAAACAAAAUACUGUGGCCCUUGCGACACACCAGUUUGUUGUCUGGUACAGAGAGUGGCAGGCUAAUAGACAAAUACCAGACUGCGAAAUUGAAUUCUUCAAGAAUGCAGAAAAGGUUCUCUGGCCACGAAUUGUUGGGGGAUCACUUGGACCUGAGUGGGGAAACCACUUUAUUCUCUGGGUAUUUGAUAAGCCUUCAAAAGAACUCAGGAUAUAUGACUCAGAUGGGCAACACAGCAAGGUUGAGGAUGA